AACGAUGUAGUUUAAUAAGAAUAGUGAGUUUGCAGCUCAAAGGUGGAAGUUUAUUCUCUUUGUUA
rnacentral:tRNA from 2 species